CCAAAAGUGUCGCGAGAUUUUUAAGGGAGGGAAAAGGAGGGAGAGGAUCCUCUGCACGCGCCCAAUUAAGCUAGCGCUAACGAGCGAGGAGCAGCUUCCACCGAAUUCGGUGCGAUCGUUAUUGGUCUUUCCGUUGCAACGGAGGAGAAAAUCCGGGUGAAGGAGCUUGGACCGGACAAGCAAGUUACUUUAUUCUCUCUCAGGAACUAGAAAACUAUGUUAUCCAUAAUUUCUAAAGCAUGAAUGGAACUGUAUACAACUGAAAAUUGUUCUUUAACGUUACUUGAUUUAUGCUUGUUGCUUGCCAAAAGAACGGCCAGUAUCAAGCAAACAUGUUCCACAGUAGUCUUAAACAAAUGAAAUUACAGGUGAUAAAAGUGUGUGUGCACGUGUGUGUGUGUGCUUAAAAGACUGUAUUAAUUAGUGAAGUGGAUUUGGUAAAUGGCUGAUUAUUUGACCUAACUUGGUUAGUUUUAGUAACCCCAUAUUUAUCUAUGUUUUUAUUAUUUCAGAAUGGACACGACAGGGAAGAGACGGCGAACUCUAACAAAGAAAAUGCCGCCAGUUUCCCCCCCUACCCAAAAUGAGGAAUCUGGUUAUUUUGCAUUUGUUCACUUUGAAGAUGAUGCUACUGCAAAAAAUUUAAACCCUCAAGCAUAUUAGUAGGCAGCAACGAAAGUCCAGUCCUUCGACUCCUGGACCUUAAAACGGGACAAAAUGUUUUAGCUAAGUGGUCUGACGGCAAAUUUUACAAAGCCACUGUUGAAUAUGUAUCUCAGACAGAGACCCCAGUCAGAAAAACACCAAAGCAGACACCAAAGCAGGCUUUUAUAAACCAAUUUUUAGGGUCUCCUCCUGAAAAUGUGUCAGCAUCAUCAUCAGGGUCUUCACCUGACACUAUAAUAAUACAGAGGAGCCCUCUGCCAGAAUAUGGGGAAGAGAUCAGUCCAGGACCAUUGACGUCACCUCACUUGGCCAGCAGAGAUGGACGUUCGCCUCACGGUGCUGGUGCUCUAGCAAGGAGAAGCCCACCAUCAUCGCACAGGGCCAGUGGAGGCGGACCAUCCCUUAACUGGGCCAGUGGAGUCUCACCUCCCUCCCACGGGGCCAGUAGAGUCUCACCUCCCUCCCACGGGGCAGUGGAGUCUCACCUCCCUCCCACGGGGCCAGUAGAGUCUCACCUCCCUCCCACGGGGCCAGUGGAGUCUCGCCACCUUCCCACGGGGCCAGUAGAGUCUCACCUUCCUCCCACUGGGCCAGUGGAGUCUCACCUCCCUCCCACGGGGCCAGUAGAGUCUCCCUCCCUCCCACGGGGCCAGUGGAGUCUCACCUCCCUCCCACGGGGCCAGUAGAGUCUCACCUCCCUCCCACGGGGCCAGUGGAGUCUCGCCACCCUCCCACGGGGCCAGUAGAGUCUCACCUCCCUCCCACGGGGCCAGUGGAGUCUCGCCACCCUCCCACGGGGCCAGCGGAUAUGGAUAUUCAACACAAGGGGCCGGUGGUAGGGUGGCACAUUAUUUAGUUAUCCUAUCAUUAUCAAGGUUUGC